rnacentral:piRNA from 1 species
UGAGUUCUGGACCUGGAGCGUAUGUGGC